rnacentral:rRNA from 1 species
AGUGCAGAAGAGGAGAGUGGGAUUCCAUGUGAAGCGGUGAAAUGCGUAGAUAUAUGGAGGAACACCAGUGGCGAAGGCGGCUCUCUGGUCUGUAACUGACGCUGAGGCUCGAAAGCGUGGGGAGCGAACAGGAUUAGAUACCCUGGUAGUCCACGCCGUAAACGAUGAGUGCUAAGUGUUGGAGGGUUUCCGCCCUUCAGUGCUGCAGCAAACGCAUUAAGCACUCCGCCUGGGGAGUACGACCGCAAGGUUGAAACUCAAAGGAAUUGACGGGGGCCCGCACAAGCGGUGGAGCAUGUGGUUUAAUUCGAAGCAACGCGAAGAACCUUACCAGGUCUUGACAUCCUUUGACCACUCUAGAGAUAGAGCUUCCCCUUCGGGGGCAAAGUGACAGGUGGUGCAUGGUUGUCGUCAGCUCGUGUCGUGAGAUGUUGGGUUAAGUCCCGCAACGAGCGCAACCCUUAUUGUUAGUUGCCAUCAUUUAGUUGGGCACUCUAGCGAGACUGCCGGUGACAAACCGGAGGAAGGUGGGGAUGACGUCAAAUCAUCAUGCCCCUUAUGACCUGGGCUACACACGUGCUACAAUGGGAAGUACAACGAGUUGCGAAGUCGCGAGGCUAAGCUAAUCUCUUAAAGCUUCUCUCAGUUCGGAUUGUAGGCUGCAACUCGCCUACAUGAAGCCGGAAUCGCUAGUAAUCGCGGAUCAGCACGCCGCGGUGAAUACGUUCCCGGGCCUUGUACACAC